UGUAACUACAGCAUAAAGAUAAUUUAAUAUUGCUUCGAGARUUUAUGGCGGGUAUGGGAACAACGCUCGACCGACUAUUUUAAUGACGUGCGACCAAAGUUAURGCAUAUACAUGAUACAAUGAAUACAAGACUAGCACAGUUGCCAGUUGUGUAAUAAAGUAUAGCGUUAGCUGAAAAUGUAUCCUUGCAGAAAUAGUACAUUACGAUUCACGAGACGGAAGUUCAAACAAUGACGCAAUGUUACUUUCCUAUUAUUUACGACGGAAUAUGCGGUUUGUGGUGCCGCGAAUGAUAUGUACAUUUUAAUACAAAUGAAAUGACUGCA